rnacentral:rRNA from 1 species
GCCCAGACCGUCACAUACGACCAUAGACAACUGAAAAUACGGGAUCCCAUCCGCUCU